rnacentral:rRNA from 1 species
UACAGAGGGGGCCAGCGUUAUUCGGAAUUAUUGGGCGUAAAGGGCGCGUAGGCGGCCAUGCGUGUCUUCCGUGAAAUCCCUCGGCUCAACCGAGGACGUGCGGAAGAAACUGCAAGGCUCGAGUCCGGAAGAGGGGGGCGGAAUUCCCAGUGUAGCGGUGAAAUGCGUAGAUAUUGGGAGGAACACCAGUGGCGAAGGCGGUCCCCUGGGCCAGAACUGACGCUGAGGCGCGAAAGCGUGGGUAGCAAACGGG